rnacentral:lncRNA from 1 species
GCACUACAGAGGAGGUUGCAGCGAUGAACUGCAGAGGAGGUUGUAGCGAUGAACUACAGAGGAGGUUGCAGCGAUGAACUGCAGAGGAGGUUGCAGCGAUGAACUGCAGAGGAGGUUGAAGCGAUGGGCGAGGAAGCUGCAGCGAUGAGCGAGAAAUCUACAGCGAUUAGGUGAAAGAAAAAAAAAAUCUGCAGCGAUUAGAUGAAAAAAAAA